rnacentral:rRNA from 1 species
GACAGAGGGGGCAAGCGUUGCUCGGAAUUACUGGGCGUAAAGGGCGCGUAGGCGGGAUGGCAAGUCGGUCGUGAAAUCCUUCGGCUCAACCGAAGAACGUCGAUCGAUACUGCUGUUCUUGAGGGUUGCAGAGGAGACUGGAAUUCCCGGUGUAGCGGUGAAAUGUGUAGAGAUCGGGAGGAACACCGGUGGCGAAGGCGGGUCUCUGGGCAAUUCCUGACGCUGAGGCACGAAGGCCAGGGGAGCAAACGGG